rnacentral:rRNA from 1 species
UACGUAGGGGGCGAGCGUUGUCCGGAAUCAUUGGGCGUAAAGCGCGUGUAGGCGGUUCGGUAAGUCUGCUGUGAAAGUCCAGGGCUCAACCCUGGGAUGCCGGUGGAUACUGCCGAACUAGAGUGCGGAAGAGGCGAGUGGAAUUCCCGGUGUAGCGGUGAAAUGCGCAGAUAUCGGGAGGAACACCAAUUGCGAAGGCAGCUCGCUGGGACGUUACUGACGCUGAGACGCGAAAGCGUGGGGAGCGAACAGG